AAAGUCGUAACAAGGUUUCCGUAGGUGAACCUGCGGAAGGAUCAUUAUUGAAAUCCUCAGGAUGCUGCUGGCCUUUUGGGGCAUGUGCACUCCGCCUUUUCAUCUCACCUGUGAACUCAUUGUAGGCCAGAUUUUUUUAUAAAUCUGUGUCUAUGUUAUUUUUUUACACACACAAAAAGUCUAUCAGAAUGUCAUUUAAAUGUAAGACCCCCUUUAGUGGUCAAAAAAUUUAAUACAACUUUCAACAAUGGAUCUCUUGGUUCUC
rnacentral:misc_RNA from 1 species